rnacentral:RNase_P_RNA from 1 species
GGCUCGUGUCAGACAGUCGCUCCCUACCCUAUGGGCCGAGAGAGGAAAGUCCGAACACAUCCAGUCGCGAGACUGGAGCAUGGUAGCGGGUAACGCCCGUCUGGAGUAAUCCAAGAGGUGCGAACAGAAACGGUCCUCAACGAAAGAAGAGGAAUAUCCCUAGCGGAUAGUCCUCAUGGCAACAUGAGGGUGCAACGGCAAAAUCCUUACCUGUGUGCAAGGCCGUGUCCAUUGAAAGAUGGAAGUGCCGCUCGAGGUCAUCGGUAACGAUGAUCCCAGAUAAAUGACUGUCGCAUGUCGCAAGACAUGGCACAGAAUUCGGCUUAUAGACACGAACACAAU